rnacentral:piRNA from 1 species
AGAAUGCCGAAGCUGUUCUUGCUGC